ACCUUACAAGCCAUGAACCGGAGCUGGUUUUAACAACUUCACAACUCGUUUAGGAAACUGUGUUGGGAGGUUUUUUCAAUCACUCUUUCCUCAAGAACCUAACUUCCGUGGUAGGAGAGUUGUAACGUUCCAUAACCAGCGUGACUUUAUAUUUUUCAGACACCAUCGUUACAUAUUGGACAUAAAGAAAGACAAACAAAGUGGUGCGAAAGGAAAAAAAGGUGUUGCUAAAGAGAGAGUGAAGGAUGCUAGACUGGAGCUAGUUUGGGUUUCUAGAGCGCUGCUUAUUGAUCCUACUUUGCUUGGUAAAUUUUUUUUUUUUUCUUAAGAGCAUCUUUAUCCAAGGAUACCAGAGGGGUUCUUAGCAUGUGGGUUCCGCGUAGGACCCAUUUUUUUUUUAAGAAACCGGUUACCAAAACUACCAAAUAGUAGUUGGUCCUUAAGGGUUUCUUACACUGUUCACGGGCUCCACUGACACGCGGCGGACCGCAAUUGGUUCGUUUUUAAUUUUUUUUCUAAAUUCGAAAAAUUAAAAAAAAAAAAAAAUUAAGAAAC